rnacentral:rRNA from 1 species
GCCGCGGUAAUACGGGGGGAGCGAGCGUUGUUCGGAUUUAUUGGGCGUAAAGGGCGUACAGGCGGUAGUGUAAGUCAGAUGUGAAAUGCCUCGGCUCAACCGGGGAUCUGCAUUUGAUACUGCAUUACUUGAGUACAGGAGAGGAGAGCGGAAUUCUAGGUGUAGCGGUGGAAUGUGUAGAUAUCUGGAAGAACACCAGUGGCGAAGGCGGCUCUCUGGCCUGAUACUGACGCUGACGCGCGAAAGCUAGGGGAGCAAACAGGAUUAGAUACCCUGGUAGUCCUAGCUGUAAACGUUGGGCACUAGGUGUUGGGGGUAUCGACCCCCUCAGUGCCGAAGCUAACGCAUUAAGUGCCCCGCCUGGGGAGUACGGCCGCAAGGCUGAAACUCAAAGGAAUUGGCGGGGGAGCACGGUCAUAGCU